rnacentral:rRNA from 1 species
AGGACGAACGCUGGCGGCGUGCUUAACACAUGCAAGUCGAGCGGAAAGGCCCUUCGGGGUACUCGAGCGGCGAACGGGUGAGUAACACGUGAGCAACCUGCCCUUAGCUUCGGGAUAGCUCCGGGAAACCGGAAUUAAUACCGAAUAUGAUUUUUGCUGACAUCAGCAGAAGUGGAAAGUUUUUCGGCUAGGGAUGGACUCGCGGCCUAUCAGCUAGUUGGUGAGGUAACGGCCCACCAAGGCGACGACGGGUAGCCGGCCUGAGAGGGCGACCGGCCACACUGGGACUGAGACACGGCCCAGACUCCUACGGGAGGCAGCAGUGGGGAAUAUUGCGCAAUGGGCGAAAGCCUGACGCAGCGACGCCGCGUGGGGGGUGAAUGCCUUCGGGUUGUAAACCCCUUUCAGCGAGGGACGAAGCGAAAGUGACGGUACCUGCAGAAGAAGCGCCGGCUAACUACGUGCCAGCAGCCGC